GGACUUUCACUUUCACUUUGUUUUGGUGAGUUUCAUCCACAGCAGGAGGGGACACAGAUCUUGCUUUUCAAGGUCAUGGAGGAGGCACUAAGAAGAGGCCUCUGGCUUGCUGUGAGUCCGGCGGCUCUGCAGUUGACCUCUGUGGGUGUUGACUUGCCUCUGCCUAGAAGGAGGUGUUGGCACCUCCACAGAAAGUCCUUAAUUUACGGUGGCCUGUAUCUGUGAGUGUGGUCUGCUGCCUGUUUGUGACGAGUGACACGUGUUUUAAAGUCUGUGUCCACAUGCAUCCAUGCUUGAGUGAGCAAGCCUUGUCCUUAUGCGAUGCCUUGGUAAACUGGGGGAUGCUGCCUGAUCUUGCUUCUGAUACCAGAAGGCAAUAGACUAGAAACUUUCAUGUAAAAUGAAGAAAGGUGCAUUUUUCUCUGUGAAGGCCUUCAAUGUUUUUCUUUGGCCUGUAAUUGUCAGCAGUCAGGAUUAGACCUCUCGUUUGCAGUCAGAGUAGUUCCCCCGUUGUUGAGAUCAGUGGGCAUAUGAGAGCCCCACCGGUGAUGUCUGCUUUGUGCAGUUUGCCUUUACCUCACCAAAAAUGCUGAGCUUAAUGUUUCCUACCGUGUCCACUGGACGUUUGGGCAAUCUUGUGGUGAGGGGGCGCAAGUAUGUUGUAUUGUCAUGAUACAGUUGAAGUUGGUAAACUCAGUGUGAAUGUUCUACAUAAAGUGCUUUAACCCUUAGGAUUUCCUAGUCAGGAAGCAAAGUCAGUACCAGCAGGCGCCUCAAAGGUGACAGGCAUGACAUCGCGCUCUCUGCUUCUAGCUAAACUGAAGUCUCAAUUUGCAGCCGAAUUCCUGGGUACAGCUGGUUGUGUUUAGUCUUUGUUUCAAACUGUUACCAGGUUUACUUUUCAAAUCACCACAAAACCAACAGUCAAAAAGGAUCUCUCUUCAAACUCACCUUUUCCCCUCUUCCUGAAAAGAAGCUACAUGUGUUAUAUGAUUGUUCUUUCACUUGUGGCUUAUGCUUAUAAACCUAUAAAUUUAAGCCUCAGACAGACAGUAGUUCGUUGUUUUAAAUGAAGCAGUCGGGACUCUGCUUCGUAUGCAAGUUAACCUGCAAAUGCCGGUCAAUGUGCUGCAUGUUGAAGUCACUUUAUUCCACUCUGACAUCAGAGUUGACUUGGGGUCAGCCACAGCUGGCAUACUGUUGGAGCAGCAAUCAAAUAGCAGAGGGGUGUUUGGCUGUUCCAUGUUUGACAAAGUCAAAUUUGAAAUGAUAAUUUUUACAUCCAUCGGUACUUGCCUGUACUGCUAAGCUCCAUCUGUGCCAUUCUAAAACCUUUUGAUGUGAAUUUUCAGUUUGGUACAAAUAGAAAUGAUUCACGGAAGCGGAAGGGCAAGAACAGUCCCUCUACCCCCAUCUCCGGUGACUCAGCAUUUCAUUCUACCUCUUGAACCAUUGAGUUGGUGUGGGUGUGGAUGUCCUGGUCCAGCCUGAGGGUGCGCUGGUAGAAUUGGGGUGUGCAUCUAAUCGUUGACAGCCCUCUAUUGAUACUUGGCAGAAGACACCAGCCUGACCCAGCAGUGAAUAUUCAUUUUUGGAACAUGUGAAGCUUUGCUUCGCAGAAUGUGUGCUUUAAAAAUGUCGAAGGUAACAGAUGUUUGGAAAGAACCAUGGAAAGAGCUACAGGGAAACCAGAAUCCGAGAACCUGCUAGUUGCCAAAUUCCAGAGUCAUUCCUGUAUAACGGUUACUUGGGAAGGAAGGCCAUCCCUCAAAAAACACGCAUCGGUCUCCUUUCUGGGAGACAUGGGAGGGGGAUCCACAGUCUGUCUCUGUGGAAGGCAGAGGUCUGGCUCUGCGGGGUUCGGGCUCCUUGGGACUUUUUCUUGCGCUUUGUCUGGGCCCCAUGUGGUGCUCUGUGCUUUGAGACACCAGGAAGAGCUGCAGCAUUGCGACCCCCUUCCUCCAGGCAUGCCAUUGGUAGCAGAGUCAGGAAAACCCUGUAUGUUAGACUUGCUUGGAGAAAUGGACCUUCCCCGGAGGGCACGUUUGUCCCUGACUUCAGACUGGCAUCUGACAAGGUGAGGAACUCUGCCCAGAAGGAAGAGGGCGGGAAAAGGGAGCGAAGGAGGCUCUCCAGCCCUCCCAACUCCAUGGCUCCCUCUUGCCCCUGAAGCUCAGCAGUCCCAAGCACUGGUCUGUUUGUCUUGAUGGAGCAAAAUGGAGAUUCACUAUGAGAAGCAGAACUGGGAGACUUCUGUGCCAAAGACUGCCUCAGAGAGGCCCCAGUACCCCCAUCCUCCUUGAAUUCACAGAGCUGCAGUGCUGCGAUCACCGACUCCUCUCAUAUUUAUCAUCCAUGAGAUUUUUGCUUAAGGGUACCCUUUACCUGGGGCAGAUGGACAGACAUGUGUUGAGGAACAAUGAAAAGUUGCCCCACACAACUGUCCAGGUCCUGAAAAGAGAAGAGUUUCCUUCACCCAGGUUAAAAGUCCCGGGAUGAAGGCAGAAGAGAGAAUUCCUAGAAGCCAGAGCAGAUUUUAGAGAUGCAAAUGAUGUCAAGCAGAAAGCAGUUGUGGUGUUGACAGCUGUGGACAUUGCCUUUGCUUGUCAGUGUGGGGGUCCAUAAGAAGAUUCUGAGCCUCUGCUCAGAGCAAGGAACCACUGCUCUGAAAUGAGGAGGGAACACACGACCCAGCCCGGUUUGGGUUGGGUUUCAUCCUUCGAUAAGGCUUUACCAAUGAUGGCUGGCAAACUUUUAGUGUGAUCAGGGAGAUGAUGGGUUUGGUGUUUCACCAGACACCUCUCUCUAGUUGAAAUAACAAACAGCCCUGCUCUGGGGAUCGUGGUGAAUGUAAGAUGUCUGUUUUCAUGCCAAAUUUCAGCACCCCCAGAGUGUGCUCUGGAAUCUUGAUCGGAGGUGUUCUUUGGGUUGCCCCUUCCCAAGGGGAACAGAAUGGUCGCCUUUAUUGAGGGACCAACAGGAAGUUCCAACUCAGAGGUGGGCAUGAUGGCCCCUGGCAGUUGCAAGGGAGAUUUCCCUCUCAGGAAGGGAGCCCAAGGGACACCUGGAGUGUGUGUGGCUCAGUCCUGCCAUUGAUAGUGUUGAAGCUCUGUUUUGAUGAGACUGUCUCUCCCCUGGAUCCGGAGCUGGUGAUUGGGGAGGGAGAACACAGUCAAGAACAACCUCCAGGCUGUGUGGGCCUCAGCUGUUUGGGUCUUGGGGUGGGCUGGAACUGGCUAGUUGCCGUUGCUAGAGACCCUACAGGGUGAUUCCUCCCAGAAGCUCAGCUGCCUGUGGUCAGGGCAGGGCCCAUUUACUGGGACCUCACCUUCCCAGACACCUACUUUAAGGGCUUGUAGCAACUGAGUAAGUUAAUUAUCUGGCUGGGGUGACAUCGCUCUGGCCAUCCUCGUUUAUGGGAGGAUAUUGGAAUUUGGGUUUGCCUUCUCCCUUUCAAAAGCCCUCAAGAUGACAGCAGAUUGGACAUGCCCUAUCAUCGCUGAGGUGUCUUUUCAAUCCAGAUAACAGGUGGCAUUUACUAGUACAUUUGAGGAAAACGUCCUCUCCUAGGCCAGACUUACAGACAGAUCGGGGUGUAUUGGAAUUGCUCUCCUCUUCCUUGUUUUAAUAAUCUAGGAAUCAAAUUUUUCACCACCCUACUCUGUAGGUUUUUGUUUUAAGUAUCCCCAACUUGCACAUAUCGGAGUGUGCAGGAGCUGUCUGCAUUAAAGGAAAAAAAAAUGUUGGAGUGGGGCUGUGUUCUAAGGGAGUGGACUGCUCUCUUAAUCAUUUGAGUUUGAAGUGUGUCCUGGGCAUGACUGUCCAACCCUUAACUAUGUGGCAGAAAAAUGUUAUCCAGGUAGUUUGUCCUGCUAAUCUGUGAAUAAGUGCUAUGAAAAACAAUAACUUUUAAUAAACCAAUAAGAUAUUUGUUUCAUAUAAACAUUCUGUGUAUUUAGAACUUGAAAAAUCAACAAAUCCAGAAUUUAAAAAUAAUGCCACAAGACUGUUAAAAGCCUAACUCUACUUCUGAGAAUUUUUCAAGACCUAAUAUGCCUUAUUCUUCCACUAGUGUUUUUAAGAUUCUUGAUAGAAAGUUUUAGAUAUAUAGUCAGCCAUUCAGCUUAAAUACUAGAGAUCUAACAUAGUCAGUCCUCAGUCCUCUUAAAGAAAAAAGCCAGAAAGUGAGGGUCAGAAUGAGGUGGCCUUUGGGGAGGAGAGAAGUAAGCGUAGCUAUUGCCAAAUGAUGUUUUUAAUAAUGCAAGGAAGCCCAGGAACCACACCACCUCUUGUCGUUUUAAAGUGUGAAAUAUUAGUUCAGUGCCUUUUGGCAUGCUUUUAAUUAUAGAGGUUACAGUAUCAGCAUUGACAAAUCACAGAUCCAGAGAACUCUAUAGAUUAUGAUAGUAUUGAAGGCUUACCCUGAUUCUGCAGAACAGCUUUUGAAGGUACUGUGAGGAUCUCAGAGGGGCAUGUUUUGGAUGGAAAAUCUCCACAGGUUGAAAUGCCAAAAACGUAUUCUGUUGACUCACAUAAUUGAGUCCACUUCAGCAAAGCUUUUGUUAUUAAACCAGAGAUGAAGAGUGUUGUGUAUGUGCCUCUCCCAGGAGGGCUGUUCCCCCCACCACCACCACCACCAAAUGAUUCUGGGCUCUUUCUAGGCUGGGCCAGAGCAACCAACACCUACCUGUCCACAUUCUUAUUGGACAGGCUUGUUCACGGUCGUAGAUCAAUCUGUCUUUCAGAAAUGGUACUAGGAGGAGGAAAUAGAAUCACGUAUUCCUCUGUGUAGAAGUGGGGAGGGGGAGAAACAGAUUGCAGACCAGAAUGUGAAUCCGUAUCAUGUCGCCUGGGCCUUCGUCGGGAACAAACCAGCAUCUCUUAAUGGUCAGCACUGUCCACCGGACACCCCUGAGCCUGUGCGCCUAUCCCAUCUCUGUGGGUUGGGAUGCAUUGAGAGGUGACCUACCCCUGAUAUACUCCCGCGAAAUCAACUGCCAGCAAACUUUCUAACUUGUAUUUUAACUGUUAAGAAGAGAUUAAAAUUUUACUUAGGACAUUUCCAAAUUAUGGACUGUGUUUUUUUUAAUUUUAGAAAUUAUUCUUUAUGUUUAAGACUUUAAGAGAAAAAGAAAACUCUUUCUGAGGUGUUGAUGAAGUCCUCUGUGUAAAUGUGUCGUCUUCUCUUCAUGCUGCCAUUAAGCCAAAACAAAAGCUGUGAAUAUAAAAAGUGCUCAAGAAGAGUGUGUGUAGAUGAGAAAGCAGUUUAUUUACAGACCAGAAGUCUUUAUUUCAUUAAGCUACCAAAUGUUAGAAAGAAUGUCACCUUUUUUUCUUGUCACUCAGAGAUUAUGGAAUGGGGGAGGAGAGUUGUUUUUGUUGAAUUUCUGAUGCUGGCACGAAGUUUUUUGCCCACUUUUUUUUCAUGUUAUCUGUGUAUUAAAAAAUCUGUUUGUUGUUGUUUACUAUGGAAUUAGUAUUUUACAUUUUGAGGUAAAUAAAGAAUUUGUAUUGCUUGAUAAACUAUUAGCUUGUAAAUUCAAACAAAGUUUCUUUACCUCAAUUAACUUAAAGUAAUGGACCAAUAAAUCUAUAAAAGAUGCUUUCUUUACCUUGACUCCUGUUCUCUUUUGUACCAUUGUAGGACUGGACAAUAUGAUUGCCACCUCUUUUGUUUUCUUAUUUUCUGAACAGAAAAUAAUUUGCCUAUAAGAAUCAAAUAUACAGAGCAA
rnacentral:lncRNA from 1 species